CAGUCGCCACGGGAAUACGAAGGGUGCAAGCGUUAAUCGGAAUUACUGGGCGUAAAGCGUGCGUAGGCGGUUUGUUAAGUCUGUUGUGAAAUCCCCGGGCUCAACCUGGGAAUGGCAAUGGAUACUGGCAAGCUAGAGUGUGUCAGAGGAUGGUGGAAUUCCCGGUGUAGCGGUGAAAUGCGUAGAGACCGGGAGGAACAUCAGUGGCGAAGGCGGCCAUCUGGGACAACACUGACGCUGAGGCACGAAAGCGUGGGGAGCAAACAGGAUUAGAUACCCCCGUAGUCCCUGUCUCUUAUAC
rnacentral:rRNA from 1 species